UGGGAAGGGGCAGGCACUUUAAAAAGUACCUGGCAUGUGAUUGGACGAAGCAUUUGUCUAUCAACAUCCGCAAUUGUUUUAAACGAACAGUUGAUGCAGUCACCAUUGUUUCUUCAAAUCUAUGACCAAAUUUUUCCCAAAAGUUGCCCUAAUUCUCCUUCAUAUGUUUAUACUGGAAUAAAGUCUUCUUCCUAAAUAUGACUAAACAU